GACGAACGCUGGCGGCGUGCUUAACACAUGCAAGUGGAGCGACGAACCAGGCUUCGGCCUGGGGCAGAGCCGCGAACGGGUGAGUAACACGUGGGUAACGUGCCCCGAUGACCGGGACAACCCGAGGAAACUCGGGCUAAUACCGGAUGUGCCCCCUCACAUAUGUGAGGUGUGUAAAGGAAGCUUCGGCCUCCGUAUCGGGAUCGGCCCGCGGUCCAUUAGCUUGUUGGUGAGGUAACGGCUCACCAAGGCUGCGAUGGAUAGCUGGUCUGAGAGGACGAUCAGCCACACUGGGACUGAGACACGGCCCAGACUCCUACGGGAGGCAGCAGUGGGGAAUCUUGCGCAAUGCGCGAAAGCGUGACGCAGCAACGCCGCGUGGGGGAAGACGGCC
rnacentral:rRNA from 1 species